rnacentral:rRNA from 1 species
UGGGGAAUUUUGCACAAUGGGGGAAACCCUGAUGCAGCGACGCCGCGUGAUUUAGAAGGCCUUCGGGUUGUAAAAAUCUUUUCUAUGGGAAGAAAAUGACAGUACCAUAGGAAUAAGGACCGGCUAAUUACGUGCCAGCAGCCGCGGUAAUACGUAAGGUCCGAGCGUUGUCCGGAAUCAUUGGGCGUAAAGGGUACGUAGGCGGGUAAGCAAGUUAGAAGUGAAAUCCUAUAGCUCAACUAUAGUAAGCUUUUAAAACUGCUCAUCUUGAGGUAUGGACGGGAAAGUGGAGUUCCUAGUGUAGCGGUGAAAUGCGCAGAUAUUAGGAGGAAUACCGGUGGCGAAGGCGACUUUCUGGCCAUAACCUGACGCUGAGGUACGAAAGCGUGGGUAGCAAACAGG